rnacentral:rRNA from 1 species
UACAGAGGGUGCAAGCGUUAAUCGGAAUUACUGGGCGUAAAGCGUGCGUAGACGGCUAUCUAAGUCGGGUGUGAAAGCCCCGGGCUCAACCUGGGAAUUGCAUUCGAGACUGAAUAGCUAGGGUACGGUAGAGGGAAGUGGAAUUUCCGGUGUAGCGGUGAAAUGCGUAGAUAUCGGAAGGAACAUCAGUGGCGAAAGCGACUUCCUGGACCAGUACCGACGUUCAGGCACGAAAGCGUGGGGAGCAAACAGG